UAGGCAGAAGCCAAAAGGUGUGGCGUCUAGCUGUUAACUAGAAUUGUAUGGGAUCGAGGCCCAUCUGCCUAGG
rnacentral:tRNA from 1 species